GGUAAGGCGCUGCCAGAGGCCGUGGUAAAGCGGAGGGGGGAAGGGUUGGUCGGAAUCACGUGGCGGAAAGCGCUGGUAUGCGGUCUUUUAAGUCUGAUGGGAAAUCCCGGGGCUCACCCCCGGAAGUGCAUUGGAAACUGGGAGACUGGAGUACCGGAGAGGAGGGUGGAAUUCCUGGUGUAGCGGUGAAAUGCGUAGAUAUCAGGAGGAACACCGGUGGCGAAGGCGGCCCUCUGGACGGAUACUGACGCUGAGACGCGAAAGCGUGGGGAGCAAACAGGAUUAGAUACCCGUGUAGUC
rnacentral:rRNA from 1 species